AACCGCAGGCUCAAAUCCCACCAUCUGCACUGCCGCGGGCUCCCGGGCAGCGCUGCCAUGUCAGCCUGGCUCCCAAACGCAGCGCAGCGCACAGGGUCUCGGUCUUUAUAAAACUGCACUAUAAAUAACUACAUUUGUGUCGUGCCUCUCACGAGGGCAUUUUCAAGAGAUCACUCCCUUUCCGAUUUAACACGUGCUUUCGGGGGGCCACGAAAACACCGCGCGGACCUGCGGGGGCUUUAAAGUUCACUGCAGGAGCGAGGUGCGCUGGGGAGGCUGCUGCCGCCUUUGUGGGGAAAGUUAGGGCGCUGCUCCGAGGGGGAGCAGCGGGCUGCGGAAGGGGCUGCACCCCAAGGCGCUGUGCUGACGGAUGCGGGAAAGAAUGAGAAAAUUAAAAAACAGAGAGACCGCGGCACCCCAACGCUCGAACAAACCUCAAGACAGAUGAUUCAGAUGCUGCCUUUGACUCCAGUGCGGGGAGAAACUGAAGUGACAGCCAAAGAGUAUGUGGACUACUCCUUCCCUUGAGUCCUCUGAAAACAACUCUAAAGUCCAUAAGGGCAGAGCAUCAAGGACUAAGCUGAGUUCGAGGGACAAGAAAAGAAGCUACAGGAGCACAGAGCCAAAUCCAGACGUUUCAUGCAUGAGGACGAAAGUGCAAACCACCCACAGGCACACAGGCCUGCACCUUACUGAAAUGGAUAUGGGAGCUGCAGCGGGAAGCACCUGCAUUUCCAGAACAACACUAUGGCAAAAAGGACCUUUAGAAACAUGGAAUACAGAAAUGGGAAGGUGUUUUUACUUCUGCAAUACACACUAAUGAGAGCAAUAUUGAAGCUGGCUGGUCUUAAGAUGAGACAUUUGCCCACAGGUCUUCCUGGAAAUGCAUUUUCACCUAACGAAAACAUGAUGGUAGUCAGGGAUUUGCAAUACUCAGAGAUGCACAAUGCUGCACUACGCUACCUUAAAUAUUUUAUGUCUGUGAAUUUCUCCCACAACAGAAGAGGCUUGGAACAAUACAACCUCCUUUUUGUUUUCAUUCAGUACAUCUGAAAACUAGAUACAAAGAACCAGCCAAGAUCCACAAAGCCAUCUAGUAUGCUUUCUAACUCGAAGAGGGGGCUGCUCCCACGGGACACGGAUGCCGAGGCAGAAGCAGCAGCGGCAGGAAAGGGCACCAGGAAGGGCGCAGGC